UUGACUCACCAAAAUUUCAACAUAUUCAUACAUACUCAGGUUGAGAAUCGGCUUUACAUAGAAUGUGCACAUCACGGUUCAAUAGACAAGUAUAUCCAGGAGCAUCUUGGGACCCUAACAGAAUCAGUUUUCUGUACUUUUACCCACCAUAUUUUCACUGGAUUGGCUUCCCUGCAUGUUAACAACUCCAUACAUGGGGAUUUAAAGGGAGCUAAUUUAUUUGUGGAUGCAUCUGGGAUAGUCAAACUUGCUGACUUUGGGAUUGCUAAACAUGUGAGUUUCCACCUCUUCACUGCAAGACUACUGAGUGCAUGUAGAAAUUCCUUGCUGAUCUGUGGCGCAUUCGAAUGUGAAGUCAGGGACCCAGGGUGACUGCGUACAUCUCAUUAUUGGUUUGUGGCAUUUCAUCUGUGCAAAAACUAUUAUAGAUGAUGAAAUGUUAUUGAGUAA